AAGCCAAGGAUGCUGAACCAGUGAGCUGAAGGAGACCAGCCAUUGUCUAAUACAGGAGAUACUUCCUGUUGGCUUAGAGGACCCCUCACAAGACUGCAGGCGCUGCAUCAGCCAAGACAGCACAAGAAGAAUCAAAGGGAGAAAUAACCAGGUGUCCUCGUCCAUCAGCAUUCAUAAACAAAGAUCUUUCUGUGCCAGUGUUUGGAGACGGGCUCAGCCGUGCUUUCUGAGGACAGGCCUUCUGAUGGGACUCAGGCGUGAUCCCAAGAGAGUUGGAUCACUUGACAUUUUGAGCCAUUUGUAUUACAAGGGAAAGCAGCGCAGGCUUCAAAUGCAAUCCUUGGAUCAGCAUUGGCCAGCCCUCUUGUU